CUUUGAAGAGGCAAUCCGCUGCUCGUUCGAAGGAGAGGAAGAUUCAUUUCACAAGUGAACUUGGAAUGAAGGGUGCAAAUUCUUCAGACAGAGGCAACCACUCUUUCUGCCCUGCUCACACUUCUGCAGAGAGACAAUACAGAUUUGAAUGCCGAGAACAGAGAACACAAACUGCGGUUGCAGGCUAUGGAGCAACAGGCCCAACUCCGUGAUGCUCCGAAUGAAGCUAUGAGAGAAGAAGUGCAGCGGCUUAAGAUAGCAACCAGACAACUUCCAACCGCAGAUGGAAAUCCUCUUAACUGAGGGCUUCUGCAUCAUGCAUCAAACUAUUACUCUCACCCACAGCAAUUACCUCCCCUGAGUGGGCGUCAAGCACAGCAUCUGCAUCCAUCUCAAACGCAAAGUUCUUCGAGUGGUCAGUCACCCAGUGUUCAUCCCCCUAAUGAUCCCAUGGACAUGUGAGCCCAAGGUCACCAAUACGAUACAAUACAUAGCACAUUUACAAGCCCUAGUUCUAGAUAGAUUUGUAGUGAUGAGAUAAGGUAGACUAAAGGUCAUUCAUGCUGAAUGUAGAUUAUACUACCUUGUUAAAGAGCUGUUCUCCUUUAGAUUAUGUCUCUAAUUGGUAUGUUUCAAGUGAACAGUCUGUUGGCUGUCGCUAAUUCUGCACAGAGUUGAUAUGGAGAUUACCUAUCGACAUGACGAUGAAUGUGUUCUAGAAAUAUCAUCUUUUAUUUUUUAAGCAAGC